GAGACCCACGCCAACAGUUGCCAGCAUGUCCUCCGGGAUGGUGGGGACACUGUUGGGACCGCCUCUGCUAAAGAGGAGGAAGGAAUGGGCAACGGUAGGUCAGCAUGCCCCGAAUUAUCCGGGCUACACGCGGGCUACAAUGGGCAGGACAAUGGGUUUCGACACCGAAAGGUGAAGGCAAUCUCUUAAACCUGCUCCUAGUUCGGAUUGCGGGUUGCAACUCGCCCUCAUGAAGCUGGAAUCUGUAGUAAUCGCGUCUCAAAAUGGCGCGGUGAAUAU
rnacentral:rRNA from 1 species